GGCAACAGCUCAAAUUUGAAAUCUGGCCCCCGGGUCCGAGUUGUAAUUUGUAGAGGAUGCUUUUGGUGCGGUACCUUCCGAGUUCCCUGGAACGGGACGCCAUAGAGGGUGAGAGCCCCGUCUGGUUGGACGCCAAUCCUUUGUAAAGCUCCUUCAACGAGUCGAGUAGUUUGGGAAUGCUGCUCUAAAUGGGAGGUAUAUGUCUUCUAAAGCUAAAUAUUGGCCAGAGACCGAUAGCGCACAAGUAGAGUGAUCGAAAGAUGAAAAGCACUUUGAAAAGAGAGUUAAAAAGUACGUGAAAUUGUUGAAAGGGAAGCGCUCAUGACCAGACUUGGGCUUGGUUGAUCAUCCAGGGUUCUCCCUGGUGCACUCUUCCGGCCCAGGCCAGCAUCAGUUCGCUGUGGGGGAUAAAGGCUUCGGGAAUGUGGCUCCCUCGGGAGUGUUAUAGCCCGUUGUGUAAUACCCUGUGGUGGACUGAGGUUCGCGCAUUCGCAAGGAUGCUGGCGUAAUGGUCAUCAGCGACCCGUCUUGAAACACGGACCAAGGAGUCGUCUUCGUAUGCGAGUGUUCGGGUGUCAAACCCCUACGCGUAAUGAAAGUGAACGCAGGUGAGAGCUUCGGCGCAUCAUCGACCGAUCCUGAUGUUCUCGGAUGGAUUUGAGUAAGAGCAUACGGGGCCGGACCCGAAAGAAGGUGAACUAUGCCUGUAUAGGGUGAAGCCAGAGGAAACUCUGGUGGAGGCUCGCAGCGGUUCUGACGUGCAAAUCGAUCG
rnacentral:rRNA from 1 species